rnacentral:rRNA from 1 species
UACAGAGGGUGCGAGCGUUAAUCGGAAUUACUGGGCGUAAAGCGUGCGUAGACGGUUAUUUAAGUCGGGUGUGAAAGCCCCGGGCUCAACCUGGGAAUUGCAUUCGAGACUGAAUAGCUAGGGUACGGUAGAGGGAAGUGGAAUUUCCGGUGUAGCGGUGAAAUGCGUAGAUAUCGGAAGGAACAUCAGUGGCGAAAGCGGCUUCCUGGACCAGUACCGACGUUCAGGCACGAAAGCGUGGGGAGCAAACGGG